rnacentral:misc_RNA from 1 species
UCUCCGUUGGUGAACCAGCGGAGGGAUCAUUACCGAGUCUACAACUCCCAAACCCAAUGUGAACCAUACCAAACUGUUGCCUCGGCGGGGUCACGCCCCGGGUGCGUCGCAGCCCCGGAACCAGGCGCCCGCCGGAGGGACCAACCAAACUCUUUCUGUAGUCCCCUCGCGGACGUUAUUUUUACAGCUCUGAGCAAAAACUCAAAAUGAAUCAAAACUUUCAACAACGGAUCUCUUGGUUCUG